UUCAGCAUAAAAAAAAAAAGAAAAAAGAAAGAAGAAGCGUGCAUCAAAUCCAACCAUUCCCGUCACAGAGAAAGAAGCAAAAGAAAUCCAUUCCUGCUGCGAAUCAGGAUCAGGAAACCGACGUAGACUGUAACAAAGAGCCAUGGCUCGAGCCAAGCCGCGCCUGAACGCGCGAAUGUGAAGACCACACUCGAGAUAUCUCUACACCCUCUUUCUAUGGUUUGUGUGUGUGUGUGUCUCUCUCUCCCUUGCCCUUCCAACUUCAAUUCAAUUCAAUCCAAUCCACAACCCUCUCCUUCUCUCUUUCAAUCCCUAAACCUCAUCGUCUUCUACUGAGGCCAGACGCUCCCCCCCCUCCUAUUUCAGGUUGCAUUGAAAGGGACGCCAUUUGUUGAAGGCUAUACUAUAUGAUUAUAUAAUCUUUUUAAGGAGCUUGUUUUUGACAUCUGGUACCAAAUGGCGGCUGAUCAACGCAGAAAAAGAUUAAAUGGUGCUACCCUUGUCGGUUGCAAUUCUAGGGAGCAACAUAGAGCAAAAAAGAAAAAUAUGGGAGUAAAUGAAGAUGAUUCAAACAUUAAUCCUCACAUUUCUCUUGAGUGGGAUGGAAGUCAGAAAAUGGUGGUUGCCAAAAGGGAUCAAAUUGGCAUAAGUUGGAAUGAUCUGAAGCCGUAUAUUGAUUCUACUACCACUAGCCACAAUAUUCCGGCAGAUGUUUUUGUUGUUCCUCAUGGCAUUUAUGAAUUGAAAAAUUUGGAAGAUGUGCUUUCAUAUGAGGUUUGGCAGACACAUCUUUCAGAGAACGAGAGAAGUCAUCUUAUGCAGUUUCUUCCUAGGGGAUCAGAGGCACAGCAAGUUGUGAAAGCAUUGCUUGCUGGGGAUUACUUCCACUUUGGAAACCCUUUCCUUAAAUGGGGUGCUUCACUUUGUUCGGGUAAUUUCCACCCGGAUGCCAUUCUUCAUCGGGAACAGUGUCUAAUGACUGAUAAGAAAGUGUACUAUAAGGAGUUGCAGAAGUAUCAUAAUGAUUUGAUUGCGUAUUUACUGAAGUUGAAGGAGAUAUAUGCAAGAUGUGAAGAUCCUGAAAAGGAAUUUUUGCAGAAAAUAUGGAGGUCAAGAAAAGAUAUGGAGAAACACAGUUCUUCACAUGCAAAUGAAUCCAGGUUCCGUGAUCUUGAUGAAAAUGCCACGCCUACAUCUGAAUCUGGUUCUUGGGUUGCAGAUGACAAAGCAUGCAGUAGUGAUAACCAAAUUUCAUCUGUGAUCAAGGGCGGGGAACUUCAGAACAGGUUCUGUGAGAAAGGCUUCCUAAAGGACAAAAAUAGACAAAAAUUGCUUACAGAAGAUGAUGCACUUAAUGUAGGAGCAAUCCCCAAGAAAGGAGACAAGCUACACAAGCGUAAUAAUAUCUACAAUAACGAUGGUGCUAAAUACAUGUCAUAUGUUAAGAUUAGCAAGAAGCAGCGUGAAAUUGUUAAGAGCAUGAAGCAGUCUGGCAGAAGCAUUCAGUUCAGGUCUCUUAACAGGGUUUUAGGUAAUGACUGUAAUAUACAACCUUAUCAAGUCUUCGUGGAAGAAGAGCAGAAGAAGUUGCACGAGCACUGGUUGCAAUUGGCAAGAAAAGAUCUCCCAGUAGCUUAUGCAAUUUGGAUGGAAAUGCGUUUGCAGAGACGGAGAAUGACAGUGUCUUUGGAGACAGACAUGAAGGAAAGGCUAGAGUCUGUGAUGGAGCAGGAUGAAGGCAAUGAGAACCAUAGUGUGUUUCAGGAUGAGCUUGGGGUGGAGAAUCAUGAAUCUACCAUGCAUGAUGAUGAAAAGUCUGUACCUGACUUGCCACAGGGGGAGGAUUUCCACAUGGAAGAAGAUGAGAAGUCUCAGCUGUUUACUGAUGGGCAUGUGUGCAACAUCACAGAUAUAGAAUCAGAAAAACAUUUGUGCAGAGAAUCAGAUAAUGAUUCAGAGAAAGACAUCAUUACAGAAUCUGAUCAUUCUCCUCCAAAUUUAUCUGAGUACUCAGGGAAUCUGAGCAUUGCACAUGCCGCUGUAAGUCAGGAAGCACAUUUGUGUUCAAGUGGAGAUGCAUGGAAGGCAGUCAGCAUGCCACAUUCUUACUAUGAUUCUACCACAAACCAUGAAUAUGCAUCUGUCAGUGAAUUGUCAGUUACGCUUCCACAAGUUAAUGAAGAGCAUCAGACACACAUACUAGAUCUGGAAUCUGAUUUUCCUGUGGGAAACAUUGGGAAAGAUGUAUUGCACAGACAAUCAGAUAGUGGCUCCUUCAGUUCUUACCCAAACCAAGAUCGAAAUGAAUUGCUUCAAUCUCUCUUCAAGGGACAGGGCAUGUUAUCCUACCCUUUGCAGAAACAGGCUGGGUUGGAUUUCCGGCCACCAAACAAUGUGUUUAUGGGUAAUGGUCAGUUUCCCGUGCAUUUUGAGGAGCAGCAACACCAGUCACUGCCUCUGGAGCUGGGGCAGAAGAGAGAGAAUGGUGUUUACAUACCUCAAAACUUAACUGAGAGCAUUUACUCUGAUGGAGGUAGAUACUUAAUUCCGAGGCAGGAGCAUCUUACUCCGGUCAAUUUUCAGGAUUGGAAUGCCAGUAGUGUUCGGAUGCCAGGACCUCUCCAAUCUCACUUAAGUGGUGGAGAUAUGUUGAGUCCGAAUUGGUUUUCUGGUGAGCAUCCAGUUCAUGGGGGAUGGUCUGGGUCAGAUGCUGCUAGCGUCACAAGUCACAGCAUUGGGAGUGGAAGUACUGCGGAUGAGAGCUUAUUUAGUGUUCUAUCUCAUUGUAACCAAUUACGUUCAGGUAACCCUUAUCAUUCAGUUGGCUCCACUGAUCAGUUCAUUUCACCUAGGAACUACGGAAUGGUGAGUGGGGUUACUCCGAGGAUUGGCAAUGUUCUACCACAAGCAGCUCAUGCACUUGAUUAUUUGGGUGGCCGCGAAGCAGCUACUUCUGUGGUGCAUGAUGAUUUGCAAUGGAUGAACUUACCUCAUCAGAACUCUGGUUUACGUGAUCCAGUGGGUAAACCAUUCUUGAGGUCAUGGAACCAAUGACAUCUAUUUUUUGCCGUAUUGGGACAGUGCAUGUGCUUGAUUCAGAGGCAGGACAGGACAAGAAAUGCGUAUACAAGAUGCAUGUAAAAGGAAAUUUUGACUUGCUAUACGUGUUGCAGAGGAGGAGAGGAAUGGUGAGGAAGCAUGUGAGGUUACUGGAGAUUCACAGAAGAUGAAAAAGCAAAGCUGGAGAUAGGUUUUGUACAUACCUAUACAAGGGCCAUAGCGACCAUGUAUAUAUGUUAGAUGGGCAGGCAGAUAGCAGCAGGGGAGUUGUGGGAUUUUUGGACAAAUCCAGUGUAGUGGGCUUCUCAUCAAUGUUUGGGUGGGGCCUGUUUUCCCCUGAUUAUCCAUGCUUGAGAGCAUCAUAGAUCUUUGUCCGAUCACACACCGAUUACAGCAACGUUCGCACCAAGUUUGGUAAUCUUUGGAAAUUUGGUUUUACAGCUUGAAAAUCAAGAUGAUGUUGUAGUUGAAAACUCGAAACGCCUCUCCAUUGUCAAUCUCCUGUCCAACAAAUGUGCUUCAUGAUAUAUUAGAGACGCAGUUUGAUAUAUCCUUGAAUUUGAGUGUCAAUAUAUUGAAGUAGGAACAAGCAUUAAUUAUGAUAAAAAUGGAUCAUCGUAAAAAAAUGGAUUGUUGUAAAACUCAUCAUGUAUGCCGAUUCUUGGCAUGUGUAAUGGAGCAUCGCAUGGAGGGGAAUCAUGAAAAUGCAAAAGUCAGGCCACAGCUUAGCACAAUUAACCAAGGCUAAUAAUAUAUGACACACGAUUCGAUUCGAGUCGAGUCGUCAUGACUAACUAAGAAAGGCGUCCAGUCAGAAACAAACAAGCAAGAGCAACAAGUACGUCUCCAGCCAGUUAUAUAUUAUGAACCAUGAAGAAGAGAAAUGAAAGAGACGAAAGAAAUGCGGAGUAGGCAGUGGAGCGGAGCGGCAUUGUAGGCAACUGUUACAGAGUCAGACGGAGCGAGAGAAAAGAGGAGGUGGCAGUUACAACUUUCUCUUGCCUUAAAAAUGAGUGUGUGUCUUGAUUGUCUGAUUUAAAUAGUAGUACACCUUUUUCAAGUUGGCAGACAAUUCUGCAAUUCAAGAUGGG